rnacentral:lncRNA from 1 species
ACUAUUAAAAUUCAUCAAGACUGCAGCCAAAGUUUCUACAGCAAAUUUCUCCUCAAUUGGAACCUCUUGUUAUUCUUCAUAAUAAAUAUCAAUAAUGGAAAAUACACUUAUUUCCUUAAGUUGCUUCAUCAAUUGGCACAUAUCAAAGUGAACUACCUCAUCAUUAAUCUUGAACUAUAACUUAUUUGGCCUUCAAAUCAAUAAGGACACUCCUGGU